rnacentral:rRNA from 1 species
CAGUGUGACAAUGGCACUGAAUUUGACAACCAAUGCAAUCGUGACUUGUUUCUCCAGCAUGGCAUUGUCCUCUGAUUUUCCUGCCCCUACACCUCGCCUCAGAAUGGCAAGGCUGAGCGCACCCUUCGCACCACGAAUGAUAUACUCCGCACCUUGCUCAUUCAGGCAUCCAUGCCCAUUGCCUACUGGGUCGAAGCUCUUCGGAUGGCUACCUUUCUCCUCAACCUUCGUCCCUACAUAUCCAACCCCUCCUCCAUGCCAUACAUCAGCCUUCACAACUCACCUCCACCAUAUGACACGCUGCGCAUUUUUGGUUGGCUGUGCUAUCCCAACCUCACUGCCACAACGCCUCACAAGCUUGCUCCACUUUCCACUCCGUGCAUAUUCUUGGGCUACCCUGACGAUCAUCGCGGAUACCGCUGCUUGGAUCUAUCCUCUGGUCAGAUUGUCAUCUCCCGCCAUGUGACCUUCGACGAACAAUCUUUUCCCUUUGCCACAUUGCACGCUGCUACCUCUUGA